UAGGGAAUCUUCCGCAAUGGACGCAAGUCUGACGGAGCAACGCCGCGUGAGUGAAGAAGGAUUUCGGUUCGUAAAACUCUGUUGUUAGAGAAGAACAGCGCAUAGAGUAACUGUUAUGCGUGUGACGGUAUCUAACCAGAAAGCCACGGCUAACUACGUGCCAGCAGCCGCGGUAAUACGUAUGGGGCAAGCGUUAUCCGGAUUUACUGGGUGUAAAGGGAGCGUAGGCGGCAGUACAAGUCGGGAGUGAAAACUCGGGGCUCAACCCCGAGACUGCUCUCGAAACUGUACAGCUAGAGUGCAGGAAGGGCAGGCGGAAUUCCUGGUGUAGCGGUGAAAUGCGUAGAUAUCAGGAGGAACACCGGUGGCGAAGGCGGCCUGCUGGACUGUAACUGACGCUGAGGCUCGAAAGCGUGGGGAGCGAACAGG
rnacentral:rRNA from 1 species